AACCUUAUGGACCUGCGGGCGUAUACCUGCGGAAGGAUCAUUAACCCUUCAAAAAACAGGGUGCGUCGCGGCCCCCCUCCGGGGGCGGUUUGGGGUCCUCCCCUUCACGCGCGCACGACUGCAUCCUUACUUUACGAGCACCUUCUGUUCUCCCUCGGCGGGGCAACCUGCCGUUGGAACCGAAUAAACCCUUUUUUGCAUCCAGCAUUACCCGUUCCGAAACAAACAAUCGUUACAACU
rnacentral:misc_RNA from 1 species